GAUGAACGCUAGCGGUGUGCUUAACGCAUGCAAGUCGAACGAGAAGCUUGAUUUCGAUUGAGUGGAAAGUGGCGAACGGGUGAGUAACACGUUGGUGACCUGCCUUUGAGAGGGGGACAACCACUGGAAACGGUGGCUAAUACCCCAGAUGUUGACCUAUUUGGAAAGGGUUAACUAAAGCUCCGGCGCUCAAAGAGGGGCCAGCGUCCCAUCAGCUAGUUGGUAGGGUAACGGCUUACCAAGGCGAAGACGGGUAGGGGACGUGAGAGCGUGAUCCCCCACACUGGUACUGAUACACGGACCAGAUACCUACGGGUAGCAGCAGCGAGGAAUCUUGCGCAAUGGGCGAAAGCCUGACGCAGCAACACCGCGUGGAGGAUGAAGGCCUUCGGGUCGUAAACUCCUUUUCUGGGGGAAUAGAAAGGAAGGUACCCCAGGAAUAAGCUCCGGCUAACUACG
rnacentral:rRNA from 1 species